CAAAAAGUAGCUUACUCUAAAGCACCCGUUUUACAAUCGGAAGACGCCAAACACCGCAGCCUUUUUGA
rnacentral:tRNA from 1 species